rnacentral:tRNA from 1 species
GGGAAUGUGGCUUAGUGGUAAAGUGCUUGCCUUAGCAUGCAUGAAGCCUGGAUUCAAUUCCUCAAUUCCA